rnacentral:rRNA from 1 species
AACGAACGCUGGCGGCAGGCUUAACACAUGCAAGUCGAGCGCCCCGCAAGGGGAGCGGCAGACGGGUGAGUAACGCGUGGGAACGUACCCUUUGCUACGGAAUAGCUCCGGGAAACUGGAAUUAAUACCGUAUGUGCCCUACGGGGGAAAGAUUUAUGGGCAAAGGAUCGGCCCGCGUUGGAUUAGCUAGUUGGUGAGGUAAUGGCCUACCAAGGCGACGAUCCAUAGCUGGUCUGAGAGGAUGAUCAGCCACAUUGGGACUGAGACACGGCCCAAACUCCUACGGGAGGCAGCAGUGGGGAAUAUUGGACAAUGGGCGCAAGCCUGAUCCAGCCAUGCCGCGUGAGUGAUGAAGGCCUUAGGGUUGUAAAGCUCUUUCACCGGAGAAGAUGAUGACGGUAUCCGGAGAAGAAGCCCCGGCUAACUUCGUGCCAGCAGCCGCAGUAAAAC